GUGAAGAUGUGGACAUGAUGUUCGGCGAUUGUUAUGACCAUAAGUGCAUCUCUCUUAGCAACUGUCAUAAAGAUCGGUUACAGAUAAAGAAAAUACAAGGGAAAAAAAGAAAAAGCUAAUAAUAUCAAAUGUCCACAGAAAUAAUUCUCAUUUUUUCUGACUUUUAAUUACCGAAAUGUUGUUACAAUUCAAAUUAAAUGUGAACAAUCAAUUUGUGCCAUCAAUAAUCACUUACUGUGAUGCCCAACUAGCUGGUUGCUGUAUGUUCCGGCAGCUACAAACAUCCACAUUUGACGCUACCACAUGUAGACCAUUUUUAUGAUGGCGAUCGAAGUCCAAAAUUAAGCCUCGACGCAGCUUCUUCCAUGAAAAGGGAAAGUUAUGGUCACAACAAUGAUGAAGAUUUUUGUGUGUAACUAUUUUUGAUGUCUGGCAAUUAGCAACAGUAGGAAGGUAGGUUGUGUUGGAAACAAAACAUUUUGAAGUCAGCAGUGAGUAAUAUUGAUGUGAUGCUCGACGGAACACUUAUUUAUCCAUCAUAAUCAGUGGGACCCAACCAACCCAUUUCAGCGAAUAUGACCAGCAUGUUUCCUAUCAAUAAAUAUUCAAUAAAUAAUUUCACGCUUAUUGUGUAAUAGAA